GGCCUAACACAUGCAAGUCGAGCGGUAGCACAGGAGAGCUUGCUCUCUGGGUGACGAGCGGCGGACGGGUGAGUAAUGUCUGGGAAACUGCCUGAUGGAGGGGGAUAACUACUGGAAACGGUAGCUAAUACCGCAUAAUGUCUUCGGACCAAAGAGGGGGACCUUCGGGCCUCUUGCCAUCAGAUGUGCCCAGAUGGGAUUAGCUAGUAGGUGAGGUAAUGGCUCACCUAGGCGACGAUCCCUAGCUGGUCUGAGAGGAUGACCAGCCACACUGGAACUGAGACACGGUCCAGACUCCUACGGGAGGCAGCAGUGGGGAAUAUUGCACAAUGGGCGCAAGCCUGAUGCAGCCAUGCCGCGUGUAUGAAGAAGGCCUUCGGGUUGUAAAGUACUUUCAGCGAGGAGGAAGGCAUUGUGGUUAAUAACCGCAGUGAUUGACGUUACUCGCAG
rnacentral:rRNA from 1 species